rnacentral:rRNA from 1 species
CCCAGCACCGAAGCCUGUGGCCGUUUGGCCCCUAGGCAAUGUGGUGUUCAGGUCAGCUCGCGGGGAUACUGCUCCACCCUAAGUCCUAUAAUGAGUAAGGUUACUCGGACGUGGCCCACAGAGGGUGAAAGGCCCGUGGGGGUGGAGACUCAGUUCGGCCAGUAUCUUCCUGAGCAGACCUUGGAGUCGGGUUGUUUGUGAAUGCAGCCCAAAGUGGGUGGUAAACUCCAUCCAAGGCUAAAUACUUGCACGAGUCCGAUAGCGAACAAGUACCGUGAGGGAAAGUUGAAAAGUACUUUGAAGAGAGAGUAAACAGUGCGUGAAACCGCUCAGAGGUAAACGGGUGGAGUUGAACUGCAAGCUCCGAGGAUUCAGCUGGUGAGAUUGGCAUGAGCUUGGUCAUAUGGGUUGUGUGUUCGGGUCUGCUUAGCUGCAGGUCCUCGCCUUUGGUGGGGAUGCGCGUAUCGCUUAUCAAGCGUUGUGCGCCCGGGCUUCUCGAGCCUGCUCGCUAGUGCACUUUCUCGGAGUGUUCACCACGACCGGCGUUGCUGUCUGGCUGGUGCGGUUAAACCGGUCUUGUAGGGUCCUUGUGGCCUUGCUUGGUCGGGAUGGCAGGUAGCCCGUUGUGUACUUCGGUGUGCUUCGGGUGUAAUAGCCGACUGCAUCGGUUCUGUGCGGUACGUCGGAGACGGCGGCUUGUUGUGCGUGCGGGCGUGCCUGUUGCGCUGGCGGCUCUGAGUCUGGUUGCCAUGUUGCUUGUAAAUGCAGGCCUGGUGAUGGCUCGGGGUCGUUUGGUGUGCGGUUGCGUUCGUGGCACUUUCAAGGGCCUAAAGUCUGUGGUGUAGUGGUAGACUAUCCACCUGACCCGUCUUGAAACACGGACCAAGGAGAGUAACAUGUGCGCGAGUCAUUGGGCGUUACGAAACCCAAAGGCGAAGUGAAAGUAAAGGUUCGGCUUGUCCGGACUGAGGUGAGAUCCUGUCGUUUCUCACGCCUGGUACUACCAAGCAUCGAGCGGCGGGCGCAUCACCGGCCCGUCCCAUGGCGUAGUGGCGGCCUCGUGCCUGCUCAUCGUCGGGGCGGAGCAUGAGCGUACAUGUUGAGACCCGAAAGAUGGUGAACUAUGCUUGCGCAGGUUGAAGCCAGAGGAAACUCUGGUGGAGGACCGCAGCGAUUCUGACGUGCAAAUCGAUCGUCAAACGUGAGUAUA